rnacentral:rRNA from 1 species
GAGCGGGGGUAGCAAUACCCUAGCGGCGAACGGGUGAGGAAUGCUUGGGAAUCUGCCUCGUAGUGGGGGAUAACGUUCCGAAAGGAACGCUAAUACCGCAUACGUCCUACGGGAGAAAGGGGGGGAUCUUCGGACCUCUCGCUAUGAGAUGAGCCCAAGCGGGAUUAGCUAGUUGGUGAGGUAAUGGCUCACCAAGGCGACGAUCCCUAGCUGGUCUGAGAGGAUGAUCAGCCACACUGGAACUGAGACACGGUCCAGACUCCUACGGGAGGCAGCAGUGGGGAAUAUUGGACAAUGGGCGAAAGCCUGAUCCAGCCAUGCCGCGUGUGUGAAGAAGGCCUUCGGGUUGUAAAGCACUUUAAGCGAGGAGGAAGGUUCGUUACUUAAUACGUAACGGAAUUGACGUUACUCGCAGAAUAAGCACCGGCUAACUCUGUGCCAGCAGCCGCGGUAAUACAGAGGGUGCAAGCGUUAAUCGGAAUUACUGGGCGUAAAGCGCGCGUAGGCGGUUGCGUAAGUUGGAGGUGAAAUCCCCGGGCUCAACCUGGGCAUUGCCUUCAAAACUGCGCAGCUAGAGUAUUGGAGAGGAAGGUAGAAUUCCAGGUGUAGCGGUGAAAUGCGUAGAGAUCUGGAGGAAUACCGAUGGCGAAGGCAGCCUUCUGGCCAAAUACUGACGCUGAGGUGCGAAAGCAUGGGGAGCAAACAGGAUUAGAUACCCUGGUAGUCCAUGCCGUAAACGAUGUCAACUAGGUGUUGGGGAACUUGAUUCCUUAGUGCCGCAGCUAACGCAUUAAGUUGACCGCCUGGGGAGUACGGUCGCAAGACUA